rnacentral:rRNA from 1 species
CCUACGGGAGGCAGCAGUGGGGAAUAUUGCACAAUGGGCGAAAGCCUGAUGCAGCGACGCCGCGUGAGGGAUGACGGCCUUCGGGUUGUAAACCUCUUUUCAGCAGGGAAGAAGCGAAAGUGACGGUACCUGCAGAAGAAGCGCCGGCUAACUACGUGCCAGCAGCCGCGGUAAUACGUAGGGCGCAAGCGUUGUCCGGAAUUAUUGGGCGUAAAGAGCUCGUAGGCGGCUUGUCACGUCGGUUGUGAAAGCCCGGGGCUUAACCCCGGGUCUGCAGUCGAUACGGGCAGGCUAGAGUGUGGUAGGGGAGAUCGGAAUUCCUGGUGUAGCGGUGAAAUGCGCAGAUAUCAGGAGGAACACCGGUGGCGAAGGCGGAUCUCUGGGCCAUUACUGACGCUGAGGAGCGAAAGCGUGGGGAGCGAACAGGAUUAGAUACCCUGGUAGUCCACGCCGUAAACGGUGGGAACUAGGUGUUGGCGACAUUCCACGUCGUCGGUGCCGCAGCUAACGCAUUAAGUUCCCCGCCUGGGGAGUACGGCCGCAAGGCUAAAACUUAAAGGAAUUGACGG